rnacentral:rRNA from 1 species
CCUACGGGAGGCAGCAGUGGGGAAUAUUGGACAAUGGGCGAAAGCCUGAUCCAGCCAUGCCGCGUGUGUGAAGAAGGCCUUCGGGUUGUAAAGCACUUUCAGUGGGGAAGAAAGCCUUGGGGCUAAUACCUUCGAGGAAGGACAUCACCCACAGAAGAAGCACCGGCUAACUCCGUGCCAGCAGCCGCGGUAAUACGGAGGGUGCGAGCGUUAAUCGGAAUUACUGGGCGUAAAGCGCGCGUAGGCGGUCUGAUAAGCCGGUUGUGAAAGCCCCGGGCUCAACCUGGGAACGGCAUCCGGAACUGUCAGGCUAGAGUGCAGAAGAGGAAGGUAGAAUUCCCGGUGUAGCGGUGAAAUGCGUAGAGAUCGGGAGGAAUACCAGUGGCUAAGGCGACCUUCUGGACUGACACUGACGCUGAGGUGCGAAAGCGUGGGUAGCAAACAGGAUUAGAUACCCGUGUAGUC